CCUACGGGUGGCAGCAGUCGAGAAUCAUUCACAAUGGGGGAAACCCUGAUGGUGCGACGCCGCGUGGGGGAAUGCAGGUCUUCGGAUUGUAAACCCCUGUCAUGUGGGAGCAAAUUAAAAAGAUAGUACCACAAGAGGAAGAGACGGCUAACUCUGUGCCAGCAGCCGCGGUAAUACAGAGGUCUCAAGCGUUGUUCGGAAUCACUGGGCGUAAAGCGUGCGUAGGCUGUUUCGUAAGUCGUGUGUGAAAGGCGGGGGCUCAACCCGCGGACGGCACAUGAUACUGCGAGACUAGAGUAAUGGAGGGGGAACCGGAAUUCUCGGUGUAGCAGUGAAAUGCGUAGAUAUCGAGAGGAACACUCGUGGCGAAGUCGGGUUCCUGGACAUUAACUGACGCUGAGGCACGAAGGCCAGGGGAGCGAAAGGGAUUAGAUACCCUUGUAGUC
rnacentral:rRNA from 1 species